AUUGAACGCUGGCGGCAUGCUUUACACAUGCAAGUCGAACGGUAACAGGGAGCUUGCUCCGCUGACGAGUGGCGAACGGGUGAGUAAUGCGUCGGAACGUGCCGAGUAGUGGGGGAUAACGCAUCGAAAGGUGUGCUAAUGCCGCAUACGUACUGAGGUAGAAAGUGGGGGACCUUCGGGCCUCACGCUAUUCGAGCGGCCGACGUCUGAUUAGCUAGUUGGUGAGGUAAAGGCUCACCAAGGCGACGAUCAGUAGCGGGUCUGAGAGGAUGAUCCGCCACACUGGGACUGAGACACGGCCCAGACUCCUACGGGAGGCAGCAGUGGGGAAUUUUGGACAAUGGGCGCAAGCCUGAUCCAGCCAUGCCGCGUGUCUGAAGAGGGCCUUCGGGUUGUAAAGGACUUUUGUCCGGGAGCAAAUGCCUGGUGUUAAUAGCACUGGGAGCUGAGAGUACCGGAAGAAUAAGCACCGGCUAACUACGUGCCAGCCGCCGCAGUAAAAC
rnacentral:rRNA from 1 species